rnacentral:lncRNA from 1 species
CCUGAGUGAGUUCAACUUGGGACUGAGCUUCCCCUCUCUGCUGCUCAAGUCCUGGCUGCUUUCUUUAUAAACUGGAUUGCUCUGGUAACCCUAAUGACUGGAAGCUGACCACCCUUGUGUGAGGCCUGACCUACCCUGCAAGCAGCCAUUACAGCCCAGGUGGUUUCUUCCUAUUGCUCAACAGUACUGCUUGGGCCAUUUCUUCACCAGGAUUUGAGAUCCACUUAGAAAGGCAUCCCACAACAGGCAGAAGGACAGAGAGAAAAGCAGAGAGAAGAAGGAAGCACGGUGUGAGACAGUUUCCUGGAAGAAAAGAAUGUAUUUGUAGAUGAAGGGGACUCACGGAGCCACUGCAGAAUUGUCCACAGGUCACAUGACCCUGACCAACAGAGAAUCUUAAAAACUUCCACUGACUCAAAACAGUGUAAGAGGUGGUAGGGGAGGAGAGCAAGAGAAGGAGGAUCAAGGCUUUGAGUAGAGACUGGCAUCAGCUUCUGCUGUAAGUGAUAGAGGACAAUAAACGUAUCCAUCUUCAACAACAUCUCAAAGCUACAUUUCUACCUCGGCAGCCACGAGGAAGGUAGAACAGAAUUCCAAACCUUGCUUUGCUAGUCUCUGGCCUAUGCUUGUUGUUUGUUUGAUUACAAGAGACAGUCUGGCUGUGCAGAUCCUCAGGUUGACCUCAAACUUGGGAUCCUCCUACUCCGGCAUGUUGGGAUUACAGUCCUGCCC